CCUCGUUCGGGUCUCUGCGCUCCCGCUCCGGAGCCCGCAGCCUUCCCCAGCCCAUGCCGGGGACUCGGCCCCGCACCCUGAGAGUCUUUGUUAAUGGAUGUGGUGGCCCGUGGCACCACGACCCGGAGGAGCAGGUUGAAAAGAUCCGAUGGCAGCACCACUUCGACCAGCUUCAUCCUCAGACAGGGUGGCCUUGUCCCUUCGUUGUCACCGCCUGUCACUGGAGUUCUGGGUGACCAUCCUAAUGGAGACCUUGGCAGCAUUCAGUCCAUAAAGUGUUACCAUCUGCACCCUAAUCCCAGCUCCCACCUCCCCUGCAGACCUCUGCUGCCUGGCAUGGAAGUAUUCAGACCCGCUUGCACGACAUGACUUCUGGUGGGAUUUUAAUUUGAAAUGAAACUUAAAUGCACUAACCCUGUGCAUUCUGAUAAUUUAACAGCCCUGUUGGGAGACGAGAAAUGAGGAGAAAGUUGCUCUGAGUCGAUCUUGCUCUUAAGCCUGACAGGUUUUAUUUGGAAGAGCUGCCUGUUAGCAAGGGACAAAUGCUCAUUUUUUUUCCUGCCUGAGGAGCUGUUGAACUUUAUUUUCCCCCCCAGGUGUUAGGAAACAGGAAUUAAAAAUAGUAUGUGACCCAGACACUGUGCAAUACAAAGUUCUUUCUUUGAUCAUGUUGCUGAUUACCUGAAUCUUGUUAAUAAGGAAGAAAAAGAUCUGUUCCCCCAAAACUGAAGGAGUGAAUCAUUCUAUUCAGGGAAAUUUGAAGUAUCAGAGGAAUUGGUGGAGUUCUUGAAAAAGAGCAAAACCCUACAUUUUUCAGUUUUCUCUUUAUUUCAUGUGACUUUUGCCCUCCUCCCCACUUCCCCCCCCCCCCCCACUCGCUAAAUGUUGUGUCAGAUUAUUUAGAACUUUCUAAAUAGGGGAGAAAAAACUCUUCCAAGUUUGGC